rnacentral:rRNA from 1 species
GAUGAACGCUGGCGGCGUGCCUAAUACAUGCAAGUCGAGCGAACGGGCGAGAAGCUUGCUUUUCUGAUGUUAGCGGCGGACGGGUGAGUAACACGUGGAUAACCUACCUAUAAGACUGGGAUAACUUCGGGAAACCGGAGCUAAUACCGGAUAAUAUUUUGAACCGCAUGGUUCAAAAGUGAAAGACGGUCUUGCUGUCACUUAUAGAUGAAUCCGCGCUGCAUUAGCUAGUUGGUAAGGUAACGGCUUACCAAGGCAACGAUGCAUGGCCGACCUGAGAGGGUGAUCGGCCACACUGGAACUGAGACACGGUCCAGACUCCUACGGGAGGCAGCAGUAGGGAAUCUUCCGCAAUGGGCGAAAGCCUGACGGAGCAACGCCGCGUGAGUGAUGAAGGUCUUCGGAUCGUAAAACUCUGUUAUUAGGGAAGAACAUAUGUGUAAGUAACUGUGCACAUCUUGACGGUACCUAAUCAGAAAGCCACGGCUAACUACGUG